UUAAGCGACUAAGCGUACACGGUGGAUGCCCUGGCAGUCAGAGGCGAUGAAGGACGUGCUAAUCUGCGAUAAGCGUCGGUAAGGUGAUAUGAACCGUUAUAACCGGCGAUUUCCGAAUGGGGAAACCCAGUGUGAUUCGUCACACUAUCAUUAACUGAAUCCAUAGGUUAAUGAGGCGAACCGGGGGAACUGAAACAUCUAAGUACCCCGAGGAAAAGAAAUCAACCGAGAUUCCCCCAGUAGCGGCGAGCGAACGGGAGCAGCCCAGAGCCUGAAUCAGUGUGUGUGUUAGUGGAAGCGUCUGGAAAGGCGCGCGAUACAGGGUGACAGCCCCGUACACAAAAAUGCACAUACUGUGAGCUCGAUGAGUAGGGCGGGACACGUGGUAUCCUGUCUGAAUAUGGGGGGACCAUCCUCCAAGGCUAAAUACUCCUGACUGACCGAUAGUGAACCAGUACCGUGAGGGAAAGGCGAAAAGAACCCCGGCGAGGGGAGUGAAAAAGAACCUGAAACCGUGUACGUACAAGCAGUGGGAGCACAGAGCAAUCUGUGUGACUGCGUACCUUUUGUAUAAUGGGUCAGCGACUUAUAUUCUGUAGCAAGGUUAACCGAAUAGGGGAGCCGAAGGGAAACCGAGUCUUAACUGGGCGUUAAGUUGCAGGGUAUAGACCCGAAACCCGGUGAUCUAGCCAUGGGCAGGUUGAAGGUUGGGUAACACUAACUGGAGGACCGAACCGACUAAUGUUGAAAAAUUAGCGGAUGACUUGUGGCUGGGGGUGAAAGGCCAAUCAAACCGGGAGAUAGCUGGUUCUCCCCGAAAGCUAUUUAGGUAGCGCCUCGUGAAUUCAUCUCCGGGGGUAGAGCACUGUUUCGGCAAGGGGGUCAUCCCGACUUACCAACCCGAUGCAAACUGCGAAUACCGGAGAAUGUUAUCACGGGAGACACACGGCGGGUGCUAACGUCCGUCGUGAAGAGGGAAACAACCCAGACCGCCAGCUAAGGUCCCAAAGUCAUGGUUAAGUGGGAAACGAUGUGGGAAGGCCCAGACAGCCAGGAUGUUGGCUUAGAAGCAGCCAUCAUUUAAAGAAAGCGUAAUAGCUCACUGGUCGAGUCGGCCUGCGCGGAAGAUGUAACGGGGCUAAACCAUGCACCGAAGCUGCGGCAGCGACGCUUAUGCGUUGUUGGGUAGGGGAGCGUUCUGUAAGCCUGCGAAGGUGUGCUGUGAGGCAUGCUGGAGGUAUCAGAAGUGCGAAUGCUGACAUAAGUAACGAUAAAGCGGGUGAAAAGCCCGCUCGCCGGAAGACCAAGGGUUCCUGUCCAACGUUAAUCGGGCAGGGUGAGUCGACCCCUAAGGCGAGGCCGAAAGGCGUAGUCGAUGGGAAACAGGUUAAUAUUCCUGUACUUGGUGUUACUGCGAAGGGGGGACGGAGAAGGCUAUGUUGGCCGGGCGACGGUUGUCCCGGUUUAAGCGUGUAGGCUGGUUUUCCAGGCAAAUCCGGAAAAUCAAGGCUGAGGCGUGAUGACGAGGCACUACGGUGCUGAAGCAACAAAUGCCCUGCUUCCAGGAAAAGCCUCUAAGCAUCAGGUAACAUCAAAUCGUACCCCAAACCGACACAGGUGGUCAGGUAGAGAAUACCAAGGCGCUUGAGAGAACUCGGGUGAAGGAACUAGGCAAAAUGGUGCCGUAACUUCGGGAGAAGGCACGCUGAUAUGUAGGUGAAGUCCCUCGCGGAUGGAGCUGAAAUCAGUCGAAGAUACCAGCUGGCUGCAACUGUUUAUUAAAAACACAGCACUGUGCAAACACGAAAGUGGACGUAUACGGUGUGACGCCUGCCCGGUGCCGGAAGGUUAAUUGAUGGGGUCAGCGCAAGCGAAGCUCUUGAUCGAAGCCCCGGUAAACGGCGGCCGUAACUAUAACGGUCCUAAGGUAGCGAAAUUCCUUGUCGGGUAAGUUCCGACCUGCACGAAUGGCGUAAUGAUGGCCAGGCUGUCUCCACCCGAGACUCAGUGAAAUUGAACUCGCUGUGAAGAUGCAGUGUACCCGCGGCAAGACGGAAAGACCCCGUGAACCUUUACUAUAGCUUGACACUGAACAUUGAGCCUUGAUGUGUAGGAUAGGUGGGAGGCUUUGAAGUGUGGACGCCAGUCUGCAUGGAGCCGACCUUGAAAUACCACCCUUUAAUGUUUGAUGUUCUAACGUUGACCCGUGAUCCGGGUUGCGGACAGUGUCUGGUGGGUAGUUUGACUGGGGCGGUCUCCUCCUAAAGAGUAACGGAGGAGCACGAAGGUUGGCUAAUCCUGGUCGGACAUCAGGAGGUUAGUGCAAUGGCAUAAGCCAGCUUGACUGCGAGCGUGACGGCGCGAGCAGGUGCGAAAGCAGGUCAUAGUGAUCCGGUGGUUCUGAAUGGAAGGGCCAUCGCUCAACGGAUAAAAGGUACUCCGGGGAUAACAGGCUGAUACCGCCCAAGAGUUCAUAUCGACGGCGGUGUUUGGCACCUCGAUGUCGGCUCAUCACAUCCUGGGGCUGAAGUAGGUCCCAAGGGUAUGGCUGUUCGCCAUUUAAAGUGGUACGCGAGCUGGGUUUAGAACGUCGUGAGACAGUUCGGUCCCUAUCUGCCGUGGGCGCUGGAGAACUGAGGGGGGCUGCUCCUAGUACGAGAGGACCGGAGUGGACGCAUCACUGGUGUUCGGGUUGUCAUGCCAAUGGCACUGCCCGGUAGCUAAAUGCGGAAGAGAUAAGUGCUGAAAGCAUCUAAGCACGAAACUUGCCCCGAGAUGAGUUCUCCCUGACUCCUUGAGAGUCCUGAAGGAACGUUGAAGACGACGACGUUGAUAGGCCGGGUGUGUAAGCGCAGCGAUGCGUUGAGCUAACCGGUACUAAUGAACCGUGAGGCUUAACCU
rnacentral:rRNA from 1 species